GGACGUUAGCGAACACUCCCGAAAAGUGCCAAAUCUGAAUGGCAUUCAGAAGGUCGUGGGUUCGAUUCCCUUCCGGUCCACCA
rnacentral:tRNA from 1 species